AUUUUGGUGGGCUGCAGAGCCUUGGCCAGAGACGCAGUCACCUCCAGCGAGUCUAGAAGCACCGAACGGCGCGCAGCCGUUUCCCCAAUGGGACACAGGAUUGGAAUGCUGUUGGACUCCAGGCACCACUGCAACAGGUUCGCAGGCACCCUACGAACGUGCAGAGACCUACGACGUGUUAUUGAGCAGCUACCGUCUCCUUGCAGUGACACGACGACACCCGGAUAGACUUACCUCCACGACGGCGAAGGGCUUGUCCACCGAAUGAUAGCAGGUCUGGAAUUGUGUGAGCCAGUGCCGUGCCUCCCCCGGGCUGGCACCACACUGAUUCAGGAAGGCCUGGAUGUCCCGCUGCACCAGUGAUUUGCCGGCAGGAGGCGCAGGAGAUUCGAGGGGGGUUGGAAGAGGUGUCCACGGCGGCUCCUCGACGGCAGGAGACUGGACACGACCCUUAGUGCCCUCGUUGUCCUCUACGUGAGCCCUGGCAGUGCUGAGCCGGCGUCCCGGGCUGGCGCUCCUCGCCCCGCGCCGCCUCGCGCUGCCACUCAGUCUCCGUGAGCCCCCAGGUCCACCCGGGCUGCGCAGCCUUCUGGCCGCCGCAGCAGAUCGCAGGGCUGUGGCCACCCACGCCGUCGCCAUGACGACAACUAAACCCACUGGUCUCCCCCACCCACAGGUGACGGUCGGUCUGGAGCGCACAACACUAGGGGUUCUUAACUUGCCGUUGAGCUGGGCUGGAUCAGACUCGGGGCGGGGCGGGAUAGGAGGCCCGGAGUGGCUUCUGGGUGCGUUUGGGGUGUGGCAAGUCAUAGACCAGAGGGUGGCGCCUCUAGACUUCUCUGUCCCUUGUGUGUGGGGGUACUGGAGCCAUUAGCGAGGGUCACGAAGGUCAGAUUUAGAGUGGUGGAGCUCUUUAAUCUGCUACCAAAAUGCUGGUUCUAGAAAGCGCUCAGACAUCCCAGAUGUUUGUGCGAAUUUGCCAGGGUCAUGCAAGUGACUUGAGUUGGAAAGAGUCCGGGAAGGUUGAACACGGGGUGUGGUCCUCACUGCAGCAUAUGGAUGCAAACGAAGUCCUGUUGUCAAGCAGGACCUGGUGUGACAUACUUGUACUCUCAGCUCCUGGGAGGUUGGGGCAGGAGGAUUGCCGGGAGUUCCAGGAGAACAUAGGCUACAUAGCGGUGGGGCUGGAGAGGGGCUUGCCUCAAAAUAUAAAACCUGGUACUCCUGGGGCUGGGGAUUUAGCUCAGUGGUAGAGCGCUUGCCUAGGAAGCGCAAGGCCCUGGGUUCGGUCCCCAGCUCCGAAAAAAAAAAAAAAAACAAAAAAAAAAAAAAAAAAAAAAAAAACCUGGUACUCCUAAGGCAGAGGCAGUAUUCACGAGUUCAGGGCCAGUCUGGUCUACAUUGAGAGUUCCAGGACAGCUAGGGGGUCUACAUGUUAUAGAGAGACACGAUCCUGCUCAAAAAACCCCGAAACACAGCAACAACAGACCUAAAAUAAACAAAAACACAAAACAAAACAAAAUGAACCAGGCGUGAUAGCCACAUACUUGUAACCCCACGUUCUUGAAGAGGAUUCGGGAGGAUCAGAAUCAAGGUCACCCUUGCCUUUAUAAGCAAUUCAAGGCUAGCCUAGGCUAAGGAAACCCUGCUUUUGUUUAUUUAUUCAUUUAUUUUUCUUUUAAGGAACAGGGUUUCUCUGUGCAACCCUGGCUGUCCUGGAACUCACUCUGUAGACCAGGCUGGCCACCGACUCAGAGACCUGCCUGCCUUUGCCUCCAAGUGCUGGGAUUGAAGGCCUAUGCCACUACCUCCCAGCCUAAACCCUGUUUGUUUGUUUUUUGUUGUUGUUGUUUUGUUUGUUUGUUUUUUGUUUUUUCCCGGAGCUGGGGACCGAACCCAGGGCCUUGCACUUGCUAGGCAAGCGCUCUACCAUUGAGCUAAAUCCCCAACCCCCUAAACCCUGUUUUUCAAAAAAGAAAAUCUUGUCUGAAUUCAGGUUUACCAGGGUUUGUCAACCGCAGCCGCUGAAGCCACCCUGAGGAACACUGUCACAGCCUCAAAUACUCCUCUGUCCUUAUUAACGCUCUAGGCUGUUUAAAGCUACAAUCUAUCCCUACGAGGCUUGUGACUUGAAGGCUUCUGUUACUUGCCAGAGACAGAAAAAAAAAAUGAGUAAGAAUAAGACAGGAGCUGGAGAGAUGGCUCAGCGGUUAAGAGCACUGACUGCUCUUCCAGAGGUCCUGAGUUCAAAUCCCAGCAACCACAUGGUGGCUCACAGCCAUCUGUAAUGGGAUCCGAUGCCUUCUUCUGGUGUAUCUGAAGACAGCGACAGCGUACUUAUAUAUAAUAAAUAAAUAAAUCUUUAAAAAAAAAGAAUAAGACAAGAACAAAACAAACCUAUUGCAUUCCUGGAGGACCAUGGUCUGCUGGCUUGAAAACUUGGAAAGUUAGUUUGUGACCGGUGCUAACAGUCCUUUAGCACCAGGUGACAUCUUCCUAGGCAGAAUGUCCUGCGCACAUUGUGAAACCCCUUUCCGUCAUCCUCAGGAUGACCCCAGGGGAGGUGUUAUAUCACCCCAUUUACAGACCAGGGGACCUUGGGACCCAGAACUAGUUAAGAGCCAAGGAUCCUUAGUUCAUCAGCAGGGACACGCAGGCCAGCAGUGUGCCUGUGAAAGUUCCCCCGUAUGCUUCCAGUUAAUCCUGUCAUGCCCUGGGUACACUCCAUCCAGUCUAGUCCCCUGUUGUUAUGGAGGAGAAAACGGGGCUCUCUCGUUGUAAAGGGAAGGUGACUUAGUCAAGGUCACACAGCUCAGACACUGGCCAUCAUAUCAUCCCUAAUGUUUUCAUUGUCUUGACAUUCGAGUGCCUGUUUUGAAAAGGUAUUUCGCUCUUGAAUACCAGGCUGGUUGGCUUGGAACUCGCCUCGGCAUCUUGAGUUCUGGGAGUACAGGCAUGUGUCACCACACUCCCCCACCCCACCCCAGGCCAGGCUUCCCAAGGUUCCACCUAAAAGAGGCCCAAUGGCCAACUGAGUAUUCUGGACUAUUUCCAGCAUGCUGGACUUGGGGGUGCAUUUUUGUGGUGUAUGUGAGAGAUUCUGGGUUCUACCCAUGAAAAAAAAAAUUCCGGAGGCUGUUGGGUAAGUGUGCUGACCCUUUCCUGGAAACUGUCCCUUCAACACACCCACACAUACUGGCCCAGGAGUCUCGAGUGGGAGGAGAGCUUGACCUUUGGGUCUUCCUCGUUGGUGUUUCUCCAACUUAGAAAACUAGACAGGCGGUGCUGUAAGGCUGGGAAGUGGCUGUGUGUGGCAUGGGCACGUACACACACACACACACACACACACACACACACACACACACACACACACACA